ACUACCCCUGAACAAGUCUCUUCAUUCGCAGAACGCUCAUGCUGUCGCAGUCUGGCUGGCAGAGUUCUCCCAUCUUUUUAGUCCAACUUGCUUGUUAGAAAUGCACUAGUUUCUUUUUGUACUCAACCUUUGAUGGGUAAGAUCUCGCUGGUUGUUUGGACUGCUUGUUUUUUCCUUGGAGCAACAUCAACUGAAUCUUUCCUUUUCCUGGGCAAGAGCACAAUUGCAGCCAGGUUGUCACACUGCUUCGGCUUUACACAACUCCCCAGGAGAUUAAUUCAGCCACUUUGUUUGCAAAAACUGCCGCAAUGAUCAUCAGGCUGGGCAGACUGACUCCUGGAUACUUCCGUCUCCUGCAGAGGCAGGUGGCAGGUGAGGUGCAGGCCCCAACACGUGACCGCUCUGUCAACCAAAUCGCCAUGAUGCUGGCCAUCAUGGGCCUUAGCAUGUCCUAUUACAGUGCCAAGCAGAUGACGGAAAAGGUGCGCCAAGAGCCUGCCCCAUGAAGAUGCACCUAGCUCCGGUUUGUUGGUAUCCGGAGAAGACGUAUUCAAAUUGGAGAAGGAGAUAGAAGUUGGAGUUACAGAGAUUACCAUAUGCAGCCUCUGUCACACUACACCCUUUCUAUAAUGUUUAGACACUGGAUUUUCAAGGAUCACACACCACAGGGAAGCGAGUUUGGGGCUUCUGUUAAGGAUUCUCUUGCUUUAAUGUAGCACUCAAUGGGGUCUGGAGAUGGUUAAAUGAUUCCUCGUUUGGGCUUGUUGGCUUCUCCUACAGAUGUGGCCUGAAUCUUGAUAGUUGCCAUGGUACAUGCACAAGAGAGUCAGUCAAUUUUGCUGUAGAUUUACAGGGAAAAACUUGGUCUCCACCAGUGCAUAAUAAGAUGCACAGUUUGUUGGGGGAGCACUACAAUGAGCCAUAAUACAUUUUAAAGGGAAGGACCUCUUUGUUUGAGAUGUACCAAGCAACUACUGAAAGCAGGCCCACUACACUGUGUAGGACUGAGAGAAACUGGUUAUAUUUGAGAUUUACCCCAUAAAGAUGUCUUGCUAUUGAAGAAACUUCACAGAGCCCUGACAACUAUUAGCCCUACAAUAUUACACUUGAUUAUCUUGGUGUUAGACACUUAGGAAAUGGACAUACUAUGCAGAGUAACUAAUAUUAAAGAGACCUGUUCUUGUCUUAACUAAUGAGUAAAUGUCUUCAUAACAUCUUGUUGAUUGUCCUGACAAAUGGUGAAUAACCCAACAGUACACAUUAGAUGUUCUUGCCUACUUUCUGUGUGCAAUUGCAUGAGUUUGAAGCUGUGUUUUUAUGUGAAACCAAUCUAUAACAUUGUUUCUAAUACUUUAUCAUAAUGUGAUUACGAUGAAUGUAUGUUGUAUUUAAGAAACUAUGAUCAAAUAAAGCUGUGAAUUAUCUUGUUCAAAAUAAAGUUAUGAGCAGUAAGACUACAGAAGGUUAAAGAAUGUUAUAUUAUGAAAUCUGUUUGGGUUGGAACGGCUCUCUCGGAAAUUGCUAAUAAAAUGUCAAUCCUGCAGAGUUAUAGACGGACAUCUGAGGUCUAUACCGAAACCAUAUAAAAGGCUUUCCUUUCCACAGAAGCGUGCUGUUGAACAGGAAGUGGGCAUAGCUUCAGGCAACAACUUCCUCUCUCGGCAUAUGAUAUUUGUCAACCAGCUGCCUGUUGUUCUGAGCUUGAUGCCUGACAUAGUUAAUCUGAACAUACCCAGAAAAUUAGUAUUUUGCAUACCAUUUAACUUGAGGUGUGUCUUGCCUUCUGAAAAGCUGAGCAUUUUAGGCCAGAAACAUACUCGAGCAUAUGCAAGUAUGUGACCGUCGAUGCUUCGAAAGAUUGACACAUUUUUGCAUUCUGAAACGUAACUUCAGUACGUGUGCAUUCUCAUUGCUGCAAAGGUUGCUAUAGCAGGCAUUAGCAUAACACAGAUAUGUCUAGCUAUGCUAGCUCUAUUAAAUGCAUUGUUGUAUUCCAAAAUAUAUCACCAUGCAAUUCAUAACUCAGUGCCACAAAGGAUGCUAUAGCAGGCUUUAGCAUAAACACAGAUGUGUCUAGCUAUACUCGCUCUACCCUUCCAAAAAAAUCUAAACUAGCUGCAGAUUUGCCCCUUUUUAGUUUCACAUGCAAAUUAGCUUUUGAUUCGGUGCAAUGUUUGCCAGAAGUUUGCAGCUCUUCGCCGGUAGUGGCGAACCUCCGGCAAACCUUUGGCAACAAUGGACAAUUUGCUGCAAAGCUCAUUUGCAUGUGAAAAUUAUCAGUGGCAAGUUUGCGACAAAUUUGCCAUGAACUCUCGAAUUGAGCACAUUGUUGUCUUCCGAAAUUUGUCACUGUGCAAUUAAUAACAUAAUGCUAGUACGUGUUGCAUUCUCAGCAUUGCCACAAGGAAUGCUAUAGCAGGCAUUAGCAUAAACCCAGAUAGCUACACUAGCUCUAUUGAGCUCAUUGAUGCUUUUGAAAUGUGCCACACUGCACUUCAAAACACAAUGCAAGUAUGUGUUGCAUUCUAUGCCUUGCCACAAGAAAUGCUAUUGCAUGCAUUAGCGUAUACGCAGAUGCUUCUAGAUAUGCUAGCUCAAUUGAACAUGUUCAUAAUGCAAUGGAAGUACUGUUCUUUCUUUUUUUCUCCCCUUUUCUCCCCAAUUUUGAAUGCCCAAUUCCCAAUACGUUCUAAGUCCUCGUGGUGGCGUAGUGACUCGCCUCAAUCCGGGUGGCAGAGGAUGAAUCUCCACGUCUGAGACCGUCAAUCCGCGCAUCUUAUCACGUGGCUUGUUGAGCAUGUUACCGCGGAGAUGUAGUGCGUGUGGAGGCUUCACGCUAUUCUCCAGGGCAUCCAAGCACAACUCGCCAUGCGCCCCACCGAGAGCGAGAACCACACAUAGGGACCACGAGGAGGUUACCCCAUGUGACUCUACCCUCCCUAGCAACCAGGCCAAUUUGGUUGCUUAGGAGACCUGGCUGGAAUCACUCAGCAAUUCGAGUACUGUAAGGAGUGCUGUUGCUGGCAUUAGUCGCAUACGGCCAAUUAUCUCUUUCUAGUCUGCUACUAUCAUGGUGCAGCAACAGUUUGAAAAGAGUUCCUUAGCAAGUUAGAGAUUACAAAUGUGUUUAUAUCUAGCUAAAUGGAUAAUAAAAUCCAGUUUAAUAGCACAGACAUUUAAAGGUAACUGUCAUUCCCUUGAGAAAAUGAUUGCUAUUUCCAUUAUAACGCUAAAACGCACGUUAAAUAUAUACAAUAAUUUGCGUAGAGUAUGUUUCUGGCCUUACUCUGCUGUUCUAUUUGCUUGUUUUUGCUCUUCUAUAUGUCUUGCAUUUUAUCAGUGUAUCAGAGAGCAAACGUGCUAGUAGCAUGGUGAACAGUGUAAAUUGUUGGAACACCUGAUAAGAUUGAAGUGAGGUUCAUUAUUGAAACCUGAUGUUCUGCAAAACUGGACUCUAAUAUCGGAGGUUAAAUUUGGGCCGAAUGGACCGGAACGGCAUUACGGCACCUCUGAUUCAAAAACAAUAACAAAAAAUCACAUCAUUCUACUUCUGUUAGGGUUCCCCCUCCUUAAAUAUUCCAAUUUAUCCACUGUCUAUUAUAGAGUCAGAGGUGUUUUGAAGUGUAUAAUUUGUUGAGCCUGUGAGGCAUGUGAAGGACAUUGGGAUGUUUGUUGCCAGCAUGCUUUUUUGCUAUAUAGUGCUGAUUAUAGUUUUGGAAGAGGUUGGUUGGUUGAUUUAUGGAAGCAAAACCUUGAACGUAGGGUCAUUGAAGGUGGUUGUAAUUUCUUAGCUGUAAAAAUGCUUUCUCUGAUCCCAGCUUAAUAUGCAGAGAGAACUAUGCAAAGGAAGCCAUUUGUAGGUUAAUUCACCUAAAAAGUGUAAUGCUGUUUUUUGAGUGUUGGGGAAAUCUGUUUAUUAACAGUAAUUAUUUUUGCAAUUUCUUUUGUUGAUGUUAGAUCUGCAAAAAUGACACUUAAACCUUAACCAUAUUUGUAUUCAUAUUUUAAUCUGUUUUUGGUGGAUAAAACCUAAUGGCCAUCUUGGAACAAAUGGAAACAAACUGCCUUCAGAUGACUCUGCAUUGCCUUUAUUGUUUCCUUCAAACGCUUUCUUCCCAUGACCAAGCAAAAGGCAGAUGCAGUUAUUGCGCCAGUGCUGUUGGGGUGGGGAAGCGGAUGUGCUUUUAAUCUUUGCAUGAAUGCUCAGGGCAGAUGGGAUGCCCUGUGACAGGCCAGGAAUGCAUUGCAUGAAACGUGCUAUUCUGCAUUUCACCUUUAGCUCCUCCCCUCGCCGCUUUGCUCUCUGAUCACUGGGCAAAUUUGCCAAAAAAAAAUACAGCUUUUUUUUUUACAUGUAAGCUUAGGACAUGAACCCAAACACAGUCGCCUCAUUGGCUGUCCGGUGAUGCAUCAUGAUGUCGUUACAGUUUCGAGCCACAGAAACAAAGAGACGUGGAUCACGUUGGCGACAGCGUAAUGCACAUGGUUGCUUUACAAAAACACUUCAAAAAAGCAUAUUUUUAUAAAGAAGGGACAGAACAUGACUUAAUAUGAGUUAACAGUGGCCUUUUCUGUUUGAAAAUAUUUUGAUGAUGGUUUAUGGAUAUAAAAUUGGAGGAAAAUUGUUUUUAUUUCAAAAACCAUUUUUAUAAUGAACACAUUGAGAUAUGUAAACAUUGUAAGACUGUUGUUGUCUGUAUUAAUGUAUCUGAUUACAUAUGAGAGCUUCAUAUAUGAAGGACUUCUGAUGUAUGACUGAAAUGUGAAUUAAACCUACAGAAGUUCCCAUGAUGCACUGUGUUGGUCUGUACAGCUCAUGUAGCAACUACAUUGUUUUGUAAUUCAUGUAC